rnacentral:SRP_RNA from 1 species
AUGCACUAGAUGGGGAACUAGCGAUGCCCUGUAACCUGCAAUCGCUGUAGCAGGGUCGAAUUCCCGGUGGAGGGUCUCUUUUGAUGAGGUCUGACUGCGACACGUGGUGUUGAAGAACGGGUCCUGCGCAAUAGGAAGCUAUGAAUCUGGUCAGGUCAGGAAUGAAGCAGCCAUAAGUAGUCCUUUCCUAUGUGCCGCAGGGCAGCCUGUUCGGAGCUAACGAUCGCGGUUCCGCUCAUUGGAUUAGAUUCAAAUCCGGGUGUGCUA